GGCCUAAUACAUGCAAGUCGAACGGUGUCUUCGGACAUAGUGGCGCACGGGUGCGUAACACGUAUGCAACCUACCUUACAUUGGGGGAUAGCCUUUCGAAAGGGAGAUUAAUACCGCAUAAGACAGUAGCUGGGCAUCCAGCAGCUGUUAAAGAUUUAUCGAUGUAAGCUGGGCAUGCGUCCAAUGAGCUAGUUGGUGGGGUAAUGGCUCACCAAGGCAAUGAUUGGUAGGGGAACUGAGAGGUCAAUCCCCCACACUGGCACUGAGAUACGGGCCAGACUCGUACGGGAGGCAGCAGUAGGGAAUAUUGGGCAAUGGACGCAAGUCUGACCCAGCCAUGCCGCGUGCAGGAUGAAGGCGUUAUGCGUAGCUUUCUGC
rnacentral:rRNA from 1 species